AGGAAGAAGAGAUGCCAGAUGUAGAAAUUGACAUUGAUGACCUUCUUGAUGCAACUAAUGAAGAGGAGAGAGCUAUCAAAUUACAGGAAGCUCUUGUAGACUGCUACAAACCAACUGAGGAAUUUAUCAGAGAACUGCUAACUCGGAUAAGAGGGAUGAGAAAGCUAAGCCCCCCUCAAAAGAAGAGUAUAUAACUACUCAAAUAGUAGCACUCUUACAAGAAACCUAGCAAGGGAAAUGGGACUUUAACUACAAGACCUUUAUUAAAAUAGAGUUGUCUUUCCGAAAAACUUUUGUUUGGUUUGGUUCAGUUUUGACGUUUACUCAAGGGAGUCCUAUUUCAUCUGCUUUUAAGGGUUUUUUUUAAGUGUCAAUUUUUUUAUCAAGGAUACCAAUGUUUUUGGAUGCUGCUCAACUAUCCUACUAAAGGAUUAUUGAACCAGGUGAAGAACCCAGGCAUUAGUGACCACGCCAUAGCAAUGAAGGGCAGCAAUCCCACGUGGUGAAUCAGAAGAGUAUGUAAACCUGUAGAGCUAGAAGAAUUGGCUUUUUAUUUUCCCCUAGCAACUAGUUGGAUAACAUUUUUAGUUGGUUGUACAUUUAACUCAUGGAUGUCAAGUUUCUUGUGCUUGUAUGUACAUAAGUUGUAAAGUGGGGGUGUGAAUACUGUUUCACGUGGCUGGAAGGGGAGUUGUUACUGUAAACUAUUUAAAUGGUGGCUGAAGCAAACGUGUUACCAGAGGGCAAGUGUUUAGAUUACCAAAAUGAGUGCUGCCAUUUUAUAAAUCCAUUUUAAAGCACCAAGGUGAAGAAUUUCAGCAUAUCUUCUCAUACAAAAAGCGACAUAUGAGAACUGGGGAGUUUAAGGGCUUCAUUUGUAGACUUCUAAUUGUUUUAUUGACUUUGAUGCUUUGCCAGAUCAUUGCGUCUUCACCUCACAGUGUGUUAGAGUUUUAUUAACCUACUGUAUAAGAGCCUGACAUACCACCUUGAGAAAUGUCAAUCACCAUCUAAAAAAUGUUUCACAGUGUGGGGGAAAGAAGUGCUACCAGAGCAAACUAAAAGCACUGUUUUGCAUUGGAGGUUUUAAUGCAGAUCCCCCUCUCAAUAAAAAACAGUGUAGCAUUAGUUUAUAGCUCUGUCCCCAGAACUAGGGGGAACUUGUUAGUUAUGGGUCCUCCUUUCUUAUGAAAGCAAGAAUGGAAUACUUUCAGUGGAUCCCUGACACUUCUUAAUUAAGGACAUUUUCCAGAUGUUCUGUAAGCUACCAUAUGCCAGUAGAUGAAUUUAGUCAGGCAUUUUAUAUCAAAGGUGCUCUGAACAUAUUUUAUUUUUAAAAAUAAAUACGUUUGUGAAUUUUAUGUAUGCUGGCAAGCUUUUUUAAAUGUAUUUAAUUUUGUAAUGUUUAUCAAUGAUUUUAUUUACCAGAUAUUU